GGUUGCACGGGUCAAAAUCUAGUUAUGUUUUCUAACUCCAGUAAAUUAUCGUGUUUUCAGCGGGUUCAUUUUUCUAAUUCACCGUAGAUGGAAGAUUAGUUUUCUAACACUUUUAGACCAUCACAAGUAUUUUUUUUUUUUUAAGUGCUCAUGUAUGUUAAAAUCAUCUUUUGUAUUUUUCUUUACCUGUUUGACUUCUCAUUAAAUUGAUAUGAAUUUUUAUAAUGUGUAGGGAUAAUUAUUGUCCAAAAAUGUUAGAAGUUGGUUUUGUUCUAGGAGACAGUAACUAAGAUAAGUUGUCUUUUUUUAGCAAAGUUUCCAAAAUUUAUGGUUGAAUCAGCCGUACACUUAUAUAAGCCAUAACCUACUUUCAUGAAUACGAUAUUUAAGGGUUUGCUUCAAUUAUGUGGUAUUCCUUAAAUUUAUGUUUUUCUCCUUGUUUUCCAUUUACUUAGUUCUAUUUUAAGAAUUAAAAACUCUUUUAUAUACGUUAACUUGACAAUGAGGUACAUAUAAUAUUAAAUUAAUUUAAAAAAUCAAAAACGAAGAAGAAAAAAGCAUGUAUAAAAGAGAAAACUUAGUUUCCUUCUCUAUUAUUCUUAUGAUACCUUUGUUAAUUUUGACAGGAAAAACAAAUGCUAAUUAUGAAAAAGAAGAAGAGCGUCGUUGUCGUGGAAGUGCACUCGAAAAUGCACCGCCGGAGAUGUGUAAUAAACCAAACCAUAAUACUGAAUGUAAGCGUCUUUGCAAGGGGACAUUCGGAAAAACUGGAUAUAUAAACGGCGAGUGUAUUGUUAGAGACAAUAAUCGCUAUUGCAAUUGCUACGAUUAUGUAUGCACUGUAACACUACCACCCAGAAAAGGGCUACCACCUCCGGGCUGGAACGGAAAAUAAAUAUAUAUA